GGUCACACUGUCACAGUAAGACGGGCCUUGACUGCCCACAUAAUGAUCUCCAGCUGGAUCAGAAGUUCUACUUGAAGUGAUAUGAAAUGAUCCAUCUACCGAUUGAAGUGAAAUGAAAUAAGACAAAAUCCAACUGUGCGUCGAUCGGAGAGAAGCUGUACGUCUCUUUUAUAUCCUGGAUACUGAUUACGUUGGUUUCGCAAUGAAUGCACCACGAUGGUGUAGAUGGCUCCUGGGUCUCUGCCUUUCGGAAUCGCCAAUCCGUGAAGCUGUUUCGUGGCUGUCUGAAUUUACGCUGUGUUCAAAAAAGGUAUCCAUCCUUUCUGGCGUCCAAAAAUAUUUUUAAAUCGUAUAGUAGUAAUUAACAAAAAAAUAAAUUAUUAUUUUGAUUUUAUAGAAAAAAACUGAAAAAUGCCUAUUUGACAAAAAAAAUUCUUUCCAAAAAUAUUUUCUGAUUAAUAUGAAAAAAUUAGUUUAAUUUUAAUAAAAAAAAUUGACCAAACCAAAUAUGAUUCAGUCUGGUUAUAUAUUUUCUAAAAAAUAUGGCUAUGAUUUUGUGGACCCAACUGAAUUGGAUCUAAUAAUUUAUCCUAUUUAUAAUAUAUAAUUUUAUGCUUAUAAUUUUUAAGUUUUGUUUAUAAAAUUUGUUGAAUGUAAUUUCAAGCUUUGUAUAGUCUUGAGGUUUUGAAGAUUAAAAAAAGAAGAAGAUUUCUUCAUAAAAAUUGUAUAACUUGAGACUGAACCCGAUAACGAUCCUUUCCUGAUCCAACCUAGACUUGGUACCACUCGUACCGACUUUUACGGGAGACCCAAACCAAACAAGACCCAAGUCUUGGAUAGUUAGGAUCCGGGUUAACAAUCAGUUCGAACCUCCUGAUAGGUUUAAGUCACAUUUAAGAGGUAUCCGGAUCUAACUUGACUUGAUACCACCCCGAUGUUAAUAUGAAUUUGAAUAGCUGUUUAUCUUGUUAUCAUGUUUGAUAUGCACUGGAAAUAACUAUCGAUAUUUAUCCUGUCGCCUAUUUAACUAUAUAAAAUAAUUUCCAAACCCCCUUCCUUUUUUUCUUUAAAUCUUUUGAAGCACUUUUCUUUCAUUACUUUCUAUUACAGUGACAGAUAAUGACCGGAACAUCCUAAGUUGAGGCAGUUUCGGGCUGGUAAUAGCCGAUUUCAUAUUAAAAAUGGUAAUGGAGAGAGUCUGUUAUUUGGGAUAUUGGUAGUCAUCGAAAUAUAUGGCUUAACUGCCACGUGGAUCAGCAUCCAUAUUUUGAAUCCUUUGCCUGCUGAACGGUCGCAUUUCUAUCUAACUUGAAGUCUAGCCACAUUUUUUGCUGGCAAUCGGACAUCAAUUCAUCCCUUGGAUGCGGCUUCAGCCACGGUUGUUGAUUUGGCUCUCCGGAAGGAUCGCUGAUGGCAACCAGUAUUGCUGGCCUUUACUCGUCGCCCACCAUCCCAACACAAGCCCAUUUUGCCGUUCGAACUUUGGAGAGAGGUUUUAUUAUUAUUCUUAUUCUUAUUUUAUUUUUUUAACAACUUAGUUCACGGGACGUGAGUACAACUAACAGAAUUAAGAAAAAUAAAAUAACACAAAGGUGUAAAGACAGGGUUAGAUCCUAUCCACAAAAGAAACAAUCCAGUCAGCCGCCCUAUCCACCUUCCGAUACACAUGAAUAGUCUAAAAAGAAGUGCAACUGGAUACCAAUAUUAGGAUAUCCCUGAGUAAUGGGUGCACACCGUUCUGCCGCUCAACCUGCCGAAUUCACUCAAUCACCAUCGAAGACUUUUCUUCCAUGAUGAUGCGAUUAGCCUUUAGGACGCUCCUCGCAUAGAUGAUCUUCUUCCAUGUUGCUCUGAGUUCAGUUUCAAUAGUAGUCAUAUCGCUAGUGCGCCGCCCGCCUGCCACAAUCGAUUUGGAAGUGUAGUUCCGAAUCACAAACUCUGUUCUUCCUUUAUCUUCGCUUGUUAAGACGCUACCGUCGAAAUUCAUCUUGAGUUGGUCAAAAGGUGAGGGCUCUCAAAAGACAAAAGUCAGACUGUUGUAAAAGUGGUGUAGAAGCCCUAAGUGUCUCUGACCCACUCUGGUGAAGGUGACUGUGUAGCGGCAAUGAUCUUGGUCACAUGAUGAAUGAUCAUGUUCACCACUGUCUUCGGGGAUGUCUUCUUCUUCUCGAAGGUGCCGGCAUUUCUGUCCGAUCAGAGGCUUCUUUGUGGAGGAAGUAGGACGGUACC
rnacentral:lncRNA from 1 species